CCUACGGGGAGCAGCAGUGGGGAAUAUUGGACAAUGGGCGAAAGCCUGAUCCAGCCAUGCCGCGUGUGUGAAGAAGGCCUUCGGGUUGUAAAGCACUUUCAGUGGGGAAGAAAGCCUUGGGGCUAAUACCCUCGAGGAAGGACAUCACCCACAGAAGAAGCACCGGCUAACUCCGUGCCAGCAGCCGCGGUAAUACGGAGGGUGCGAGCGUUAAUCGGAAUUACUGGGCGUAAAGCGCGCGUAGGCGGUCUGAUAAGCCGGUUGUGAAAGCCCCGGGCUCAACCUGGGAACGGCAUCCGGAACUGUCAGGCUAGAGUGCAGGAGAGGAAGGUAGAAUUCCCGGUGUAGCGGUGAAAUGCGUAGAGAUCGGGAGGAAUACCAGUGGCGAAGGCGGUCUUCUGGACUGACACUGACGCUGAGGUGCGAAAGCGUGGGUAGCAAACAGGAUUAGAUACCCUGGUAGUC
rnacentral:rRNA from 1 species